GGCUGGCCUCAAGUAGCCUAAAGAUUACUUCUCCCAUGGUGUCUGGGAUUUACUGUGGCGGUUGAACAGGGGAGAUGGGAAAUGAUGACGGCUGUGAACUGUAUAACACAGAGCAGAACAAAAUACACAAAAUGGCUACUCCUUCCUAUCAAGACGUGGAAACUAUUUCCAUAACCCCCAGAUCUUGGCUGGCUUCGUGACUUGCUGUGAUCCUGAGAAAGACCACAUGAAUGAUUCCAGGUGAGUCUGCUGGAGGAUAAGGCAUCACAUGGCCCAUCCAUCCUAGCCAAGUGGCAGCCUAGACCAGACUGACUGCUGCCAAUUUCAAAGCCUGAGAGGGAGUCCAGUCAUAUCAGUGGAGCCCUGUUCUCAUAUCACAGCUGCCUUCAGCUGCAAAAGUAAACGUGGUCAAGACCAGAAGAAACACCCAGCCAGCCUGUAGUCUUGUGAGCAAUGACAAAUGCUCACGGCCUUGAGUCACUGAGUUUGGGAGUGGUUUGAUAUGUAAGAAUAGUUAA